rnacentral:rRNA from 1 species
CCUACGGGAGGCAGCAGUGGGGAAUAUUGCACAAUGGGGGAAACCCUGAUGCAGCGACGCCGCGUGAGUGAAGAAGUAAUUCGUUAUGUAAAGCUCUUUCAGCAGGGAAGAAAAUGACGGUACCUGAGUACGCAGCCCCGGCUAACUACGUGCCAGCAGCCGCGGUAAUACGUAGGGGGCAAGCGUUAUCCGGAUGUACUGGGUGUAAAGGGAGCGUAGACGGCAGUGCAAGUCUGGGGUGAAAGGCGGGGGCUCAACCACCGGACGGCUGUGGAAAAUGUACGGAUUGAGGGCAGGAGAGGUAAGUGGAAUUCCUAGUGUAGCGGUGAAAUGCGUAGAUAUUAGGAGGAACACCAGUGGCGAAGGCGGCUUACUGGACUGUAACUGACGUUGAGGCUCGAAAGCGUGGGGAGCAAACAGGAUUAGAUACCCGGGUAGUC